rnacentral:rRNA from 1 species
GAUGAACGCUGGCGGCGUGCUUAACACAUGCAAGUCGAACGGAAAGGCCUCUGCUUGCAGGGGUACUCGAGUGGCGAACGGGUGAGUAACACGUGGGUGAUCUGCCCUGCACUUCGGGAUAAGCCUGGGAAACUGGGUCUAAUACCGGAUAGGACAAUGGUUUGGAUGCUGUUGUGGAAAGUUUUUCGGUGUGGGAUGAGCUCGCGGCCUAUCCGCUUGUUGGUGGGGUAAUGGCCUACCAAGGCGUCGACGGGUAGCCGGCCUGAGAGGGUGUACGGCCACAUUGGGAGUGAGAAACGGCCCAGACUCCUACGGGAGGGAGCAGUGGGGAAUAUUGCACAAUGGGCGCAAGCCUGAUGCAGCGACGCCGCGUGGGGGAUGACGGCCUUCGGGUUGUAAACUCCUGUCGCUAGGGACGAAGCGUUUUUGUGACGGUACCUGGAGAAGAAGCACCGGCUAACUACGUG